CCUUUGAGAAACUUCCCUUCCCCUCCCUAGCGGACUGGGCCCAUAGGGUGAGGGUCAAGAUGGGGUGGUGUGCAAACAUGAAAUAUCCAGCAAGGUCUAAUAUUCACAGUUUUUCAUAAUACCGAUAAUAAACUUGAAAGUUUUGUUUUCAGGGCUUCGUGAAGAUGCCCCCAAGUCAAAAUAGCUGCCUCAGAACUUCAUCAUAGGCAGGCCCCUGUUUUAGGAAACAGCAGGUCUCAUUGAAAAUGUCUACUCAUUUGACUGGCUCGCUGUGAACCGUGAGGGCUGGGGCUGUUUCUGUCUUGGACACUGUGUCCCUGUGUCCGCAGCACGUAGCAUAGAACCGGGCAUAGACUUCACCGUCACGAAACUGUUGAAGGACAGAUUUAUCCUUUCUCCAUCCCUACUGAACCCCUUUCUCCACUUUAGCUGUUGCAGAUGCUGUUUGAGGAAACUCUGCCCCACAGGGGCGCUGUUCCUGGGGUUAGCACCCUUAGCCUGGUGCAGGUGAGACCCUGCAUGGAGGGCAGCCCUGGGAACCAAUGGUGGUGCUGUGGAAAGGGCCUGAGGCUCGCAGGCAGCCAGAAGAGACUGAGUCUAGCCUCAUCUGCCACUGACCAGUGUGGGCUUGCCUCUCUGAGGUCUCCUAUUUCCUGCCUGAAAUGGCUGAAUGUUGGUGCCCUGGUUGACUCAAGGAGCCCCAGCGGGAGAAUCUGGUGAGACGAGGUCUGGGAAAGGCUGUUUGUAACUGGUGUUGUGCUUGUGUGAUUGCAGCUCAGCCCCAGUGGAAAGACUCAGGACCUGCUCUCUCCAGGGAGAGAGAACCUAUCGGUGUUAGACGUGUCCCCUUUGGGCUUGGUGGUAGAAAAUGCCAGUGAGGUGGAGGUGUCCGACUCAAGAGCUGCCUCAGAGCUGUACUUACAAGCUGCAGGGGAUGAAGGCAGGGCCUGCUCUCUGCUCACUGUCACCAUGUCCUGCCCAGGGCCUGACCCUCCCGAGGGGCCUGGGACCCGGGGUAUGUGGCGAGGGGCCUUGAGGAUCCUGCAGCUCCCCAGAGACCUAGAUUGCCCCCUGCUGCAGGUGUUGGCUGGUAAGGUUAUUGGUGAGGAGGUAGAGGGCUCUCUGCCCUGGAUCGUGUCAUGGCUCCUGGAAGGAAACAACUACACUGGUCUUCUUCUUCGCCUGGACCCUCAAGGUGGCCUGGGGAAGGGUGUGGGGUUCUUUGGGAAGCUCUGACAUCUAACUUAUGCCUGACCACCCCUCUCACCAAAACAGCUGCAACCCCAACCCCAGUCCAGAGAUAGCCUCACCUCUGGGAGGGUCAAGAUUCAGAAA